rnacentral:tRNA from 1 species
GCGGAACUAGCUCAGUUGAUAGAGCAUUAGCCUUCCAAGCUGAGGGUCGCGGGUUUGAGCCCCGUCUUCCGCUCUA